UAAGCAGAGCUAAUCUCGAACCCACAAAUUGUUAAUCGUUUAAUUCAAUUCAAAUAGUUAAAACUUUAAAUGCAAUAUUUAAGUAAAGUAAAUAUCAAAGUUUCGUUAGCAAUCGUUGAAUAGUGCUGAAAAUGUGAUAAAUCAUUAUACUUGUUCAGAUCAAAAAUCAACAUGCAUACUUAACCUCAUUCUGUAGGCAGUAAGUGUCACAAGCUGCAUUACCUAAUGAGUAGGCCAUCUCAGUGUUAGGCCUACGUCUUAUGUUUAUUACGAGCCUUAAACAGGUUAAGACAGUGAAAGGAAUCAAACGAAGAGAUUAUACUGAUUAUAUAAUUCAAUAGAAGAAUACAGAAAGAUAAGAAAAAUUUCCUCAAGUAUAUGGUAAAAUACCUAAUAAUAUGCAUAGCAAGAUUUGACUACAUUAGAUACGAUACGAUGUUAUAUGAGAGUGGUA